UAGUUAUCAAGAAAGGUGGAGGGAAUAGACCCUUUGAAACCUUAGCAACCCUUUGCAUAUGCAAAGAAGGUGCUACAUUCUACCCAAUCAAUUUUAAGAUUGUGGAGAGAUAACGA
rnacentral:ncRNA from 1 species